rnacentral:rRNA from 1 species
UACAGAGGUCUCAAGCGUUGUUCGGAUUCAUUGGGCGUAAAGGGUGCGUAGGUGGCGGGGUAAGUCAGGUGUGAAAUCUCGAGGCUCAACCUCGAAACUGCACUUGAUACUGCCUUGCUAGAGUACUGGAGAGGAGAUUGGAAUUUACGGUGUAGCAGUGAAAUGCGUAGAUAUCGUAAGGAAGACCAGUGGCGAAGGCGAAUCUCUGGACAGUUCCUGACGCUGAGGCACGAAGGUCAGGGGAGCAAACGGG